UUUGAAAUGAAGGUUCUUUAUUUCGGCGGAUGGAUGGAAAUGGUGCCAGCCCAUGAUGAAGGGGAAAUCGCCAUGACAAGGAUAAAGGGUGCAUUCGUAAGCUUCGAAACAAUGUGGCAAAACGGCGCCCAAGUGGUGUGAUCUAGCCAAGUAUCCUCUGAUGUCUUCAGCAAAUACUGUCUGCGGGAGGUUAGAAAUGGGGUCCAGAUCUCCAAAUCCCAUCAGCCUUCAACACUGGCUUUGCUACUGGAAGUUGUAUUCCAGCUCUCAUCCCUGUUCUAGGAUUUCUUUGAGCAAAUUAUCCUCAGUUUGAAAAGUUUCAAAACAACAACAACAACAACAACAACAACUAGAUGCUUUGUGAUGGCAGGAUUUACUGUACAUUUCAUUCAGUCAGAACCAGGCACCUCAUUUCUAAGUCAGACAUAGUGACAGGGAUCUUCUCACCAGUGGCUAUGGCGGAGUAAGUAAAAGUCCUAUCCUAGACUACAAUCAAAGCCAGAGUUAAAAGCACUUAAGGCAUAAACCUAUAGAUUGGAGCCACGGCUGCAAUGUGAGGAUGAAUUUCCAAUGCCUUUUUGAAAGAAUGCUGGUAAAUGCAGAAAUCAGAGAAAUGUCAGUAU